rnacentral:lncRNA from 1 species
CUACAACCAAAGGAGCUGAUCUCGCGAGACUUAAAAGCGACGGUUAAAGGACCGGGUGGCCGGUGGGAUGAGGAUGUCUUCAUCCGAAAAAUCUUGUUUCCUGUAUGACAUGCCCUCCAUUUAGUGCGUCAAGGAUGCAUGGGUCUCCAGUGGGCAAACUAAACAACUCCCUCCAAAGUAUUGAUGCAGCAUCAGUCCAAGAGAGCCUGGAUUACAUCAUUCCGUGGGCUGUGGGCACUAUGCCUGUGCUCCUGUCAGAAGCUGCUGUGGUCCUGAAACGCUGCACAAGGAGAAUUUGUGCCUUUUAAAUCUUGGGUUCUGGGGAUUAUGCCAGGGCUGGUUACACAGCAGGAAAAAGCCAGACCCAUGAUGUCAUUCAACAUAUCUUCUCCCAGAGACUAGAUACACUU